AAUCAACGCUGGCGGCGUGCCUCAGACAUGCAAGUCGAACGAUUAAAGCUCUCUUCGGAGAGUGUAUAGAGUGGCGCACGGGUGAGUAACACGUAAGUAAUCUACCUUCGAGUGGGGAAUAACGUCCGGAAACGGACGCUAAUACCGCAUAAUGCAGUGGCAUCGCAAGAUGACAGUUGUUAAAGAUUUAUCGCUUUGAAGAGGAGCUUGCGGCAGAUUAGCUAGUUGGUAAGGUAAUGGCUUACCAAGGCUACGAUCUGUAACCGGUCUAAGAGGACGGUCGGUCACACUGACACUGAAUAACGGGUCAGACUCCUAC
rnacentral:rRNA from 1 species